rnacentral:rRNA from 1 species
AUUGAACGCUGGCGGCAGGCCUAACACAUGCAAGUCGAGCGAGCGGCGGACGGGUGAGUAAUGUCUGGGAAACUGCCUGAUGGAGGGGGAUAACUACUGGAAACGGUAGCUAAUACCGCAUACCAUCAGAUGUGCCCAGAUGGGAUUAGCUAGUAGGUGGGGUAACGGCGCACCUAGGCGACGGUCCCUAGCUGGUCUGCGAGGAUGACCAGCAAUACGGGCACUGAGACACGGUCCAGACUCCGACGUGAGGCAGCAGUGGGGAAUAUUGCACAAUGGGCGCAAGCCGGAUGCAGCCAUGCCGCGUGUAUGAAGAAGGCCUUCGGGUUGUAAAGUACUUUCAGCGGUGAGGCGUUACCCGCAGAAGAAGCACCGGCUAACGCCGUGCCAGCAGCGGCGGUAAUAC